GUGAAUCAUCGAAUCUUUGAACGCACAUUGCGCCCAUUGGUAUUCCUUUGGGCACACUUGUUCGAGCGCCGGUUAACAAUAAGGCUCUGCCUUGCGUUGAAUCUUCCUGCCUCAGGAAUGUUCCAAACUCGUGGGCGUUGCCGUCAUGCCUGAGCACAGCAGAAUGUGCGGAGGCCCGUCGGAAAUUGCCGGACAGCCAACACAUGGCCUCGGAUCAAGUGGGAAUACCCGCUAAACUUAAGCAUAUCAAUAAGCGGAGGA
rnacentral:misc_RNA from 1 species